CUUUCCAAAACCCACACAAAAAUGGAGCAAAAAUUGCUCAAAUUUUUGCAGAAAUCCAAAACUAGCAAACAAUUGAAAGAGACCCAUCUUCAGAUAAUUGUCAAUGGCCUCAUGAAUAACAACUUUAUAGUGCCAAAGCUCAUAACUUUUUCCUCAAACUUCAUUUCACUUGAUUAUGGACUUCAUGUCUUUGAUAACUUACAAAAUCCAACUCUUAUUUCCUACAAUACUUUGAUUCAAUGCUUCAUUGGUAAGACAUUGAAAUAUGCAUUAUAUACUUAUAACCAUAUGAGGGUAUCGAAUAUUACACCUAAUAGUUUCACAUUUACGUUUCUCUUAAGGUGUCUUGAGUCUUUUGAUGCUUUACAAGCUGGAGAAGUAGUUCAUAGUCAGAUUGCGAAGAUGGGUUUCGAGUCGAGUGUGUUUGCUAAGAAUACCCUUAUGGAUUUUUAUGCUAAAUGUGGUGGGAAUUUGGGUUCUGCUCGUAAGGUGUUUGAUGAAAUGUCUGAUAGAGAUGUUGUUUCAUGGAAUACGAUGAUUGGUGCUUAUAUGAUUCAUGGUAAUCAAGAAUAUGCGCUUUGUUUGUUUGAGGCAAUGCCGGAGAGGAAUCUGAUUUCGUGGAAUUCGGUUAUUGCUGGGCUAUUGAAGGUUGGGAACAUGGAGAUGGCUCGUUCUGUUUUUAAGCGUAUGCCGGAGAAGAAUGAUGUUUCUUGGAAUACGAUGAUUUCUGGAUAUGUAAAGUUGGGUGACGUAGAGACUGCUAGAGCUAUUUUUGAUGAGAUGCCGGAGAAAAGUAUAAUCUCUUGGACUGCAAUGGUGUCAGGAUAUGCCACAAGUGGUGCUGUGCAAUCAGCAAGAAAGAUGUUUGAUCGAAUACCAGAAAAAAAUGUUGUUUCAUGGAAUGCCAUGAUUGCUGGAUAUGUAAAUAACCACAUGUUUGAUGAAGCUCUGUCAGUGUUUCAGCAUAUGUUGAUUGAUGGGAACUGCAAACCCAACCAGACUACUUUGAUUAGUGUACUCUCAGCGUGUUCACAUUUGGGGUCUCAUGAGCAUGGAAAAUGGAUUGAUUCUUUUAUAAGAAAGAACAAAUUUGACUUAUCAGUUCCGCUAGGAAAUGCUUUAAUCGACACAUUUGCAAAAUGUGGAGAUAUGGAGAAUGCAAAAGCAGUUUUCUUAAGGAUGGCCCAAAGAUGCAUAAUUACUUGGACUUCAAUGAUUUCAGGAUUAGCAGCGAAUGGUCAUUGCAGAGACGCCCUAGAACUCUAUGAAAAAAUGUGCUUGGAAGGAGUAGAGCCGGAUGAUGUUGUAUUUAUUGCUGUUCUUUCAGCUUGCACUCAUGGAGGGCUGCUGGAAGAGGGGAAAAGGGUAUUUUACCAGAUGGUGAAUAAAUUUGGCAUUAAACCACGGAUUGAGCAUUAUGGAUGCAUGGUUGAUCUUCUUGGCCGAGCUGGAAAGUUUGAAGAAGCACUGAUUUUCAUUAAGAGCAUGCAUUUGGAACCUAACGUGGUCAUUUGGGCCACAUUGCUUUCUGCUUGUAAAACUUAUAGAAAUGGGGAGUUGUUAGAAUCCUUAACCAGGAGGAUCCUGGAGCAAGAGCCUAACAACCCAAGUUAUUUAACAUUGAUAAUGAAUCUAAGCUCUUCUGUUGGGCGGUGGCAAGAUACCUUGAACUUCCGUAUAGCUACUAGAGACAAGGGAAUAGUAAAAAUUCCUGGUUGUAGCUCAAUCCAAAUAGGAAAUAAUGUCCAUGAGUUCUUAGCUAAAGAUACAAAGCACCCACAGAGGAAGGAAAUCUAUAGAGUUUUAGGGUGUUUAAAUGGACACUUAAAAUCAUGUGAGGUCGAAUGAAUUUUGAUGGCCGUGGCUUCUAAAAGAAUCUAUAGAUAGAAAGAUUUUGUAAUGUCCGUUGCUCAAAGGCUACUUUCUUGAAUACGCAUUAUUCUGACAUGGGUGAAAUCUUACAUCACAUGUAACUUGAAGUUGCAUGAUCACAGUGGAUGGACUACUGAUCUGAAUUAAGUACUCUCGUGAAAUGAAAUAUGAUAAUUCUCACAGUACGGCUGCAGGGAGAGGAAUCAACUCGGAGAAACUGUGAUGUCCAAUCACGAGAGUAAAUUAUUGCAUUGAAAAUUUUGGGCAAGAUGAGAUGCAUGAAGAUAAUGUGGACAUGUACAAGAUUCCUUCCGAGAAGUUAAGCACAAAGUUGAGAAGUGUUCUGUUUGGUUGUCCUCAUUUGAAUUGGUGCUCUGUUAAUAUUCACUUCUUGAUUGUUUGUUCUCCAUAUUGAUAUGCUUUGCUUUUGAAAAAGCUGUCUUUUUUCUCCUGUAAAUCCAAUCCAUUUCCACAUAUAAAACUUUUGUGUGCAAAUGUUGUCUCUUUUGCUCGCUGUGCCUCCAGCUUUCUGUUGAAAAUAUAGUGCUGAAAAUGGAAGCUGGCUGGAAGAGAAUCUGAUGCCGACACUAGUAUAUGGAAGUUGAAGUACUUUCAGUGGCUAGUAUGCUGUUCACCAAGGAUUACGUUCAAAAGGAUUAUUAGCAAGAGAUCAACAGAACAGUUCUCUA